rnacentral:rRNA from 1 species
AUGGACGGCAACGCGGCGGACCAUCGCCACCAGUCCCCUCCUCCUCUCCUUCCGCCGCCGCAUGCCCCCUGGGAGAUGGCCUCUCUGCCGAUCCCCGACGAGCUCCUGCGUGAAAUCUUCCUCCACCUGCCCACCCCUGCCGAUCUCGUCCGAGCCUCCGCCGCCUGCGUCUCCUUCCGCCGCGUCGUUGCCGAUCGAUCCUUCCUUCGGCGGUUCCGCAAGCUCCACGCCCCGCCCCUCCUCGGCUUCCUCAGUUCGCUCAGUCCGCAUAGCGGCUUCGAGUUCCACCCCGCCGUGCCGCCUCACCCCUCUGCGUCGGCGGCCAGCGCCGUUGCCCUCGCCGCCGACUUCUCCUUCUCUUUUGUCCCCGCCCCAGCCACUUCUGACUGCUGGGUCCUCCGGGACAUCCGCGACGGCCGCUUCCUGCUAGUCAGCGCCGGACGAGGUUUUUUGGGUGGAGAAAUGGUGGUCUGCGACCCCUUGCACCGGCGAUACAUCCUGGUUCCACCAAUCCCUGACGACCUAGCUGCUAUGGUUGCGAACCCGGGUCUCUCGGAGACUUUCCUCGUUCCCCGGGGGGAUGGCCAUGAUGACGAGGCAGCAGCUGAGGAAGAGACAUCAUUCAGAGUGAUGGGUAUGGUGUACUGCGAAGCUAACAUCAUCUCCUUUGUAUUUUCUUCCAGCACCAGACAAUGGCGAGCCGCUGCAUCCCGUAGUUGGAUCGAUUUGUUAGAUGGCUUGUUAUGGUCGCUAGAGGAGAGACUCUUCUGCUGGCGCUGGCGCCAAUACGUGUAUGGCUGCUUUUACUGGAUUCCAGACUGGGAGUAUGAAAUGAAAAUUUUGGUGCUCGACACCCGGAGUAUGGAGUUCUCCUUUGCCGACCCCCCAUCCGAAGCCAAACAUGCAUCCAGUAAUGAUAUAACUAUGAUCGAAGCAGGAGAAGGCAAGCCUGGGAUGCUUAUCCGUGGAUAUGAGUACGGCCCAUUUGAUCACAUUUAUACUAUUUGGAGAAACAAUGGUGGGAGUUCUAGCCAGUGGCAGAAGGAGAAGAUAAUCUCACCCUCAUUGGGCUGUGAGUACAUGGGCAACGGUUCAAUGGGGAAGUACUUGGUCCUGAAUCACUUGGGAAACUCAUCACUUGAGCCAGGCUUAUACAUGUUGGACAUCAAAACAUUACAACUUGAGAGGGUGUGUGCUUCGAUAGUGCAUGGCUUCGCAUAUAGCAACUACCCACCAUCGUUGUCGUCACCGACAAUAUCAAGCGGUAUUGAGGAGGAGGUGCUGGAACAAGGUUAUGCAUAG